AUGUUGUCUUCUUGCCUGAGGUGGAUAUGUCACAUGAAGCCAUCUAUCCUCAGCCAGCCAAAGAACCACUCCGUAAAGACAAUCCUGCCUUUCAGAGCUUCUCUGCUCCUAUUGAAGCCACUCAUGUUCCAAAUCAUGUUGCUGUUGGUCCACUUGCAGCUUCGUCUGCUGCAUCGUGCUCACACUGAUGCGACAACCAGCACAGUUCCUCAGAGGGCUUCGAAGCGUGCUCGAGUACUCAAUGAUAGAGAACUUUUAUUUUCUCUUCAUCAAAAGCAUGAUAGGCAUCAUGAUUGGAUGAAACGCUAG
rnacentral:rRNA from 1 species